AUAGUUCUUAUUGCAGCUGCUGGCCACUGCACAAGAUUAGAUUAGAUGACUCUUGUGCGUGUGACAGCGGCUAUUGUGAGAUACUAAAGUCAACAA
rfam:Stomoxys calcitrans breed 8C7A2A5H3J4 unplaced genomic scaffold Scaffold116, whole genome shotgun sequence.